rnacentral:rRNA from 1 species
AACGGGUGAGUAAUAUAUCGGAACGUACCCAGAAGUGGGGGAUAACGCAGCGAAAGUUGCGCUAAUACCGCAUACGAUCUACGGAUGAAAGUGGGGGACCUGCAAGGGCCUCAUGCUUUUGGAGCGGCCGAUAUCUGAUUAGCUAGUUGGUGAGGUAAAGGCUCACCAAGGCAUCGAUCAGUAGCUGGUCUGAGAGGACGACCAGCCACACUGGAACUGAGACACGGUCCAGACUCCUACGGGAGGCAGCAGUGGGGAAUUUUGGACAAUGGGGGCAACCCUGAUCCAGCAAUGCCGCGUGUGUGAAGAAGGCCUUCGGGUUGUCAAAGCACUUUUGUCAGGAACGAAAACGGUCUGGGAUAAUACCUCGGGCUAAUUGACGGUACCUGAAGGAAUAAGCACCGGUAACUACGUUGCCCAGCAGGCCGCGGUAAUUACGGUUAAGGGUGGCAAGCGUUAAUCCGGGAAUUAACUUGGGGCGUUAAAGCGUGCGCAGGCGGGUUCAUGUUAAAGGACAGGAUGUUGAAAAUUGCCCGGGGGUUAACCCUGGGGAACUUGAUUUUG